rnacentral:rRNA from 1 species
AGCGGAGGAAAAGAAACUAACAAGGAUUCCCCUAGUAACUGCGAGUGAAGCGGGAAAAGCUCAAAUUUAAAAUCUGGCGGUCUUUGGCUGUCCGAGUUGUAAUCUAGAGAAGUGUUAUCCGUGCUGGACCGUGUACAAGUCUUCUGGAAUGGAGCGUCAUAGAGGGUGAGAAUCCCGUCUUUGACACGGACUACCAGUGCUUUGUGAUGCGCUCUCAAAGAGUCGAGUUGUUUGGGAAUGCAGCUCAAAAUGGGUGGUAAAUUCCAUCUAAAGCUAAAUAUUGGCGAGAGACCGAUAGCGAACAAGUACCGUGAGGGAAAGAUGAAAAGAACUUUGGAAAGAGAGUUAAACAGUACGUGAAAUUGCUGAAAGGGAAACGCUUGAAGUCAGUCGCGUUGGCCUGGAAUCAACCUUGCUUUUGCUGGGCGUACUUCCUGGUUGACGGGUCAGCAUCAAUUUUGACCGUUGGAAAAAGCUCAGGGAAAUGUGGCAUCUUCGGAUGUGUUAUAGUCUCUGUUCGCAUACAACGAUUGGGAUUGAGGAACUCAGCACGCCGCAAGGCCGGGUCUUUGACCACGUACGUGCUUAGGAUGCUGGCAUAAUGGCUUUAAUCGACCCGUCUUGAAACACGGACCAAGGAGUCUAACAUGCCUGCGAGUGUUUGGGUGGAAAACCCGAGCGCGUAAUGAAAGUGAAAGUUGAGAUCCCUGUCGUGGGGAGCAUCGACGCCCGGACCUGACCUUUUGUGACGGCUCCGCGGUAGAGCAUGUAUGUUGGGACCCGAAAGAUGGUGAACUAUGCCUGAAUAGGGUGAAGCCAGAGGAAACUCUGGUGGAGGCUCGUAGCGAUUCUGACGUGCAAAUCGAUCGUCAAAUUUGGGUAUAGGGGCGAAAGACUA